rnacentral:rRNA from 1 species
GACGAACGCUGGCGGCGUGCUUAACACAUGCAAGUCGAACGGUAAGGCCCUUCGGGGUACACGAGUGGCGAACGGGUGAGUAACACGUGGGUGAUCUGCCCUGCACUUUGGGAUAAGCCUGGGAAACUGGGUCUAAUACCGAAUACACCCUGCUGGUCGCAUGGCCUGGUGGGGGAAAGCUUUUGCGGUGUGGGAUGGGCCCGAGGCCUAUCAGCUUGUUGGUGGGGUGUUGGCCUACCAAGGCGACGACGGGUAGCCGGCCUGAGAGGGUGACCGGCCACACUGGGACUGAGAUACUGCCCAGGCUGCUACGGGAGGCAGCAGUGGGGAAUAUUGCACAAUGGGCGCAAGCCUGAUGCAGCGACGCCGCGUGAGGGAUGACGGCCUUCGGGUUGUAAACCUCUUUCAAUAGGGACGAAGCGCAAGUGACGGUACCUGUAGAAGAAGGACCGGCCAACUACGUGCCAGCCGCCGCGGUAACAC